rnacentral:rRNA from 1 species
CCUACGGGUGGCAGCAGUGGGGAAUAUUGCACAAUGGGGGAAACCCUGAUGCAGCGACGCCGCGUGAAGGAAGAAGUCUUUCGGUAUGUAAACUUCUAUCAGCAGGGAAGAAAAUGACGGUACCUGACUAAGAAGCUCUGGCUAACUACGUGCCAGCAGCCGCGGUAAUACGUAGGGGGCAAGCGUUAUCCGGAUUUACUGGGUGUAAAGGGAGCGUAGGCGGUUUAGCAAGUCAGUAGUGAAAGCUCGGGGCUCAACUCCGGGACUGCUUUUGAAACUGUUGAACUUGAGUGCAGUAGAGGUAAGUGGAAUUCCUAGUGUAGCGGUGAAAUGCGUAGAUAUUAGGAAGAACACCAGUUGCGAAGGCAGCUUACUGAACUGUAAAUGACGCUGAGGCUCGAAAGUGUGGGUAGCAAACAGGAUUAGAUACCCGUGUAGUC